rnacentral:rRNA from 1 species
UGGCCUCAAAUCAGGUAGGACUACCCGCUGAACUUAAGCAUAUCAAUA